AUGUGGUCAAGCUACUAAGGGCAUAUGGUGGAUGCCUUGGCACGAGUAGGCGAUGAAGGGCGUGGCUAGCUGCGAUAAGCUUCGGGGAGCCGCUAAGCAGGCUUUGAUCCGGAGAUCUCCGAAUGGGGCAACCCGAUCCUGGUAAUUCGGGAUCAUCUCACGCUGAAUUCAUAGGCGUGUGAGGCGAACGGGGGGAAGUGAAACAUCUCAGUACCCCCAGGAAUAGAAAUCAAUAGAGAUUCCCUCAGUAGUGGCGAGCGAAAGGGGAAGAGCCCAAACCGCUGGAAGCAAUUCCAUCGGGGUUGUGGGGCUGCUUUAGGGUGUAGCCCGGGAAGUUACCAAGUCAGGUCAUAACUGAAGGCUCCUGGAAAGGACAACCGAAGAGGGUGAUAGUCCCGUAAGUUAAAUGACUCUGGCCUUCCUGAAGGCAGUUCCCGAGUACCGCGGGACACGGGAAAUCCCGCGGGAAGCCGGGAGGACCAUCUCCCAAGGCUAAAUACUAACUCGUGACCGAUAGUGAACUAGUACCGCGAGGGAAAGGUGAAAAGCACCCCAGUGAGGGGAGUGAAAUAGUACCUGAAACCAUGUGCCUACAAGCAGUGGGAGGGCUAUGUCCCAAGCUUCGGCUAGGGAUAUGCCUGACCGCGUGCCUUUUGCAUAAUGAGUCUGCGAGUUACUCUACGCAGCAAGGUUAAGCCGACUGAGGUGGAGCCGUAGCGAAAGCGAGUCUUAAAUGGGCGAUUUGAGUUGCGUGGAGUAGACCCGAAGCGGGAUGAUCUACCCAUGGCCAGGGUGAAAUUUCGGUAACACGAAAUGGAGGCCCGAACUGGUGAAGGUUGAAAACUUCUCGGAUGAGCUGUGGGUAGGAGUGAAAGGCUAAUCAAAUUCCGUGAUAGCUGGUUCUCCCCGAAAUAUAUUGAGGUA
rnacentral:rRNA from 1 species